CUGUUAGGACCGAGGGCAGCGGUUACAUCCCGGUAGUCAGCAACAGCGGUUCAGUGUCAAAUGAAAGCUAAGCGGGAAGGCUACUUCACUUCAGACAAUCAGGCAGAAGCAGCGGUGUCGGGUUCCUUCCUUUCGCCAAUAGACUAGACCAGCUACUACUACUACUACGAAAAGUAAGAGCUCAAACUCCUAAGCACCACUACUCCUAUAAAAAAAAGUUGCUUGCUUAUUCUAUUCUUCUGGAUGUGCUCCACAUUUCAUUCGCUUUCCUUUCACAUCGGUCUUACAAGGCCCUUUCUUUCUUCGGUGAGUUGCAAGAGGGGUUUUUUUUAUGGGGAUAGGUAAGGAAAGAUGACUUUGGGAGGAAUUCGGGAUCGGUCAUCGAGGGGGUAGUGGAUGGAGAUGACGACUAGUAGGAGAUGACAACUAAUGGAGCUAGCUUUCUUCUUUCUGCUGACUAAUCAUGGACUCAGAGCUAAACAACUAUGACUCGUAUGAUUUGCUAACACAACGGAUGGUUUCGAAAUAUUUCUCGCCGGGUUCUGGCGCUGUCCCCCGAGUUCGCCCGCUGAAUCUGCUGCUCGCUGAACAAGAUGCCUUCUCAGCAAUCAGUUCCAGUCCCUUGUCUUUCAUCAUUAUGCAUUCAACGCUUUCGAAUGAGUCGGUUCAAGCAACUCAUAAACCCAAUAUCAAAAGUUUCACCCAGGUAUACAUAUCCUUACCUCAUCUCUGGUUCAGGACCAACCAUGCACUCACAGCCACUACUCUCUUCUUAAGCUUGCAGUAGUGCCGUUGCUCUAGUAGUCCAACCAUGCAGUAGCAUACCAAUGCAGAUAUCGGAGAUGAUACUCCAUCCAUCUUUCAAAAAUCUUUCAAACAUGCAAUCUGCAUCGUCACCAUAGAAAGUACGAAUCCGAUCAAUUUCAACUUCAUUGAAGUUUGAUGGACGUACACGCUCCAUGAUAAACGCCCUUACCAUUCCAUACUGCUCUGCAGUCAACACUCCCAAAUCUGGAAAUGCUAACCAAAACUUCAAUGGUAAAGGAAGUCUGCCAGUCGGCGAAAACAUUAAGAGAUAAUGGCGCUUCCAACGUUUAGAUGUCGGAAGACCUUGACGUGAGUAGACCUUAUAAGAUCCACCGCGUAACCUGUACGAACACAGCAAAUUGACUCGCAGCUCCGAAAACAGGAAAGUGGAAACUCCAGAAGAGAGAGUACGGAGAACCCGAAGGGACACAGGACUAAAGUCAAGUGUAACCUUAUAGACCAUAAAUCUCUUAGCAAAUUCUAGAGCACUCACGUUAGGGACGGACUUUUCUUUUGAUAUGGUCACCUCACACUCCUCCAUAACCUCAAGAUAUGACUUCACGACUACUGGAUCCGCGAUGACAUUGUCAUCGCCCAGUAGAGCAUAAUCAAAGAACUUCACCCCAGGGCGUACCCUCCAUGCUGCAUACCACACCAGCAUAUGAUGCGUGAGUGUGCCAUGAACUGUAAAACCCUAGAGUAGAGGUUGCCCCUUUGUAAACCGGAAGACAUAUAAUUGGGCGAAGGCCCCUUUUCUGGUAACCGGAAGCCAAAAGCACAUAGAAUAAGAUAAAUCCAUGACUCGGCUAAUCGACGGCCAAACAAACUAAACAAGACACCUCCACUUAAAUCUACCGGCAAAGAGUCGGUAGCAGCUUUGAGAUCGAAGGAAAACAAAUGACUUUGACCGAGCAAGGGGCGCGGUUUGGUUAUAUGUCCCGUCAGUCGGAAGACAAUGAAGCACAUCCAUCACCCGAUCAUGUAAAGGCCGGAAAAGCAAAAAAAAUAAUGAAUAAGACAAAGAAAGGACUUGGACACACCUAUCUCAAAUUAGUGAAGAUACCGGUGGUUAUGGGUAUGGAUCCACGCGAGAUGAUAGCUUUCUCGGGUUUUUGAACAGUUGCUGGCUUUAUUGAUUUACCUCUUGGUAAGGGGAAACUAGCGAAGGUUUUAUUACCUUUUCUUCCGUACACCUUUGCCGACACCGGUACCUCCUAUCAUUGGCACUCUAACUAGGCGAAAUGGUGAGGAAGCCGCUUCUGGGACCGUACGAACUAGAAGGAAUGAUGCUUGCAUAGGUGGGGGGCUGCCUCUACUUCUACAUGUGGUGCUACCUUCGCUGCUUUCAUUAGUCUUGGUUCUUCCAAAGUCGCAAUUAGGAUUGGACUUAGCGUUUAUCCCACAUCGGGAAUUCUCUCUGUUAUGUUGUUGUUUUUAGAGAGUGCGGGGGCCUUUGUCUCUAACUGAACUGUGAUGCCGUAGCUUCUUAUGCUGCAGCCCAUACCAUCCUAGCUUCCCAUACUUUUUCUACCGCUAAUAUGACUAGUGCCCAUACAGCCUAUGUCUUUGCUUCUUAUGCCUUUGUUGCCUUUAUCCCACUCGAAACUAACUGAGAUUCUGCUGACUCAGAUGCUGGUGGUCUAACUUGAAUGGAAUCUGAUCGAUCUCAAUAUGGAACAACUAUAAAGUAUAUGCAUAAACUCUUCUGCCUCUGCCGGCUCUGGAACAGGCUCUUGCUCUAGCUCCGUUCCUCUCCAACCUUUUCUAUCUAUCCUUAGAAGUAGGGCGAGUAAUAAGCUCGAUCUGGAUCCGAAAUGGACUAUGGAUCUCGAUCUAUUGGUCUAUGCGGGAUUCGCCCUCUUCUCCAGUCUCAGUUCUGGUUCGAACAGAUCCCUUUCCGCCUUUGAAUUAGCUACUACUACUACUGAUGAAUGCACCUUCGCUGCACUCGGCCGCUUUCAGGGGGAGUGGGGAUGGCAGGGAAGGGCAUAUCUUUGCCGUGAUCCCCACGUUCAACUGUUAAUCCGUACCUAUCCACCCGAUGUGAUAGAGCGAUACUCUGUUCGAUUCCCCUUUGAUCCGAUGCCUACUACCUAAUAGAAAGGCAGCCAGCAGUCCAUGGCUAGCUGAUAUAUCACGGUUUCACCAUCAGAGGGAGGAGAUGGAAAGAAAGGAGUCGAUCACCUAGCCGAUCCCGAAUAGCCCGAUCUUUAUUUCAUUUCAACCGAUCCGCCGGGUCAUAACCUAAAAUUAUAUAUAUUUAUUUUUAUUAUUAUUAUUAUUAUUAUUAAUAUUAAUCUAAUAAUAAUAAUAAAUAUUAUAAUAAUAUAUAAUAAUUAGAUUAAUUAAUAAUUACUUUGCUUUGAUUCUGAAUAUCUGCUUCGACUACUGGAACAUUUCUUAGAAACCAUAUUGACGGAUACUAAAAACAAACCUUUUUUUCUCUAUUCCUUACUUGUGGUAUCUUCAUUCAUUCAGUCAUUCCUUCGUUUUAUAGCCUGUUGUGCUUGUUUUCUUUUGCUUGUUCUGUUGGAACAUUGAGUAAAUCAACCUUAUUAUGUAAUAAUUUUUCAUUCAACAAGGUAUGGGUAUCUUCUCACUUAGCUUGACUAGACAGUUAGUUAGUUCAAAAGGAAAAAGAGUAAAUUGACUUCUAUUGAGACCUCUUCUUGGAUGAAGAAUCAAGUGACUUGUUAAAAGCAUACUUCUAACUCGAACUAUUUCAUUACGGAGUACCUCAAGCCCCGCCUCGCCGUUAGCUUCAUAUCCUUUUUUACGGAACUCUAGCUUGUGCCGUAGACGACCUUCCCACUAGUGUGAGAGGAAACUCUCGAUUGGGACCCGUCCAUUGCUUGGCUCUUCCUACCCACAGGCGGGUUCCCCGGCAGAACGAUGAGGGCUUUGCUUGCCUUUCUUUUCUAGGAUGAGUGGUUGAUUCUCGAAUCCUUCUCUUUGCUUUACAACAUAGUUGAAUGCCCCCAACGGAAGGUACUUGUUUCUCUCUCGGGCCUGGCCGAUCAACGUAUGGCCGGUGUAAGAACCCAAAGCGCCUAUUCCCGGACGCAACCAACCUCUGACUAUUCCACUCUGAUUCCUUCGCUCUGCCCAUGAAAGUCUUCUUUCUUCGAGUGAGAGAGGAGAAGAUUCGCACUGGCUUUAUGGCUCAUACGACCUCGAAAGUUCAAUAAUUUAAGGGGUUCCGACGAAGGAAGAGCUUGACUGCUACUAAAAAAGGUACGCCCUAAUCGCUCCCCUUUAUUAUUAUUAGUAAGAUAGGGUGGUUGAGAAGCAGGUCGUUCGUGUGCUUAUUGUAAAAAAAUACCUACGACUAUCAAAGGAACUAAUCUCACAAGCAACCGUCACUCAUAAAGGGGCAACAAGACCUCUAACGGCCACUCUCUUUCUCUUCCUUCGGUAGGCUCUGCCUCAUAGCCGGACUCAGAAAUGCAACUCUUUGAUCAAACCUAGCAAAUAAUGGCAUAAACAAUGGAUUCUCACUCGGGGCUCAACUUUCCAUAAUCCACUGUUAAGGACUCUCUUUUUUCUCAUCCACCUUCUUUCCCUUGGUACGGUACCUUCACGGCACAUUUGUUCUCAAACCCUUCUUUUCAGACGUCGAAAUGGGCUUUUGCCUCGUAGCCAUACCUAGACGAAUCUGACUCCUCUUCGAAAAGAGAGAGCAGUUGUUCCCCGAAAGACUUGGAAAGGUUUUUUUUGCUACAAACGAGAUUGAAGAAGUCCAUCGACUUAAAAACCCUUGGUACUUUAAACCAAAGUCUUGCCUUGACUUACGAGCAAGCCGAACUCCCCCUUCGCAACACCUACCUUUUUUUCUUCCUGAGGUGGGUGUCCCGCUUGAAGCAAGAGGAUUAGACAUCUUAUUCAUUGAGUCGACGAGAUCGAAGUAGUAGGUUUCCAGCCCAGCAGUUUACGGAGAAGAGGGGAAAGUUUGAGGAGAGGAAUAAGAAGAAGAGAGGGGACCUCAUCAUGGCACGCUGGAGCAGGAAUUGAAUCUGCACUUGGCUCUCAUAAAGCCAAAGCAAAACAACCUUUCAUUGCCACUGAAUCCCCCUUUUUGAUCAGCCGAACUUUCCUUCUGCUUGACUUAGAGUAGAUUUCAUUCGACAUAUGCGACCAACUGCCCCCUCUCUUGCUUUUGAUCCAGCUAAUGGUAAUGAGUGCGCCUGAAGCCCCUGGAGUUCUUCCUCUUUUCCUUCCCCGAUCCGAUUCAACCCUCCGAUCUCUCUUUCCGUAGAGGAGAAGAGCUUCCCCUUGUUUUUCGGCGUCAACCUUUGUUCUUUCCUAACCAGACCUCGACGAAUCCAAAGUGAAAGGUCCAACUGGUCAAAUUCCUUAUUCAUUGGUCUAGGGUAUGGAAGCAGUCCUUCCUAUCGAAAUUUAGAUCCCAUCCCUUAGGAUACAGAUUGACAAGGACUUAACCGAUAGUGAAAAGCUUCCAGCUUUGUUGGCACAAAAAAACUCUUGGAUGAGAAAGGCCUACGUGCCGCUGAGCAUGCCCAAAUUUACCAAAAACGUAUCAGUUGAGCCUAUGAUAAGAAGGUCUUAGAAAGGAAGUUCAAGAUAGGUGACUUAGUCCUUAAGAAAAUCAUGCCUUCUAGAGAUCCACACCCUAGGGGAAAACGUCAAGCCGAAUCGGGAAGGGCCCGAUUUCAUAUCCGCCGUCCAUCCUGGAAAUGCAUAUAAACUUUAGAAUGCGGAUGGUGAUGAACUACCCGAUCCCUGGAAGGCCAUCUACCUCAAGAGGUACUACGCGUAGGCCAACCUUUGUUUGGAUUCACAUUUUGGCCUUACCUCGAGAGAACUUUGUUAUGUUUCCGAGUCUAAAGAGUAGGGCAUAUGUUUGUUGUCUAAGUUCUAAAAGAUAGCAAGCUAGUGCAUUCAUUCAUUAGUACUUCACCAGCGGAUAGGGUGACUUUCUCGUUCUCGACCUUUCCCCAGUCCCCUAUUCGCCGAACCAUUCCUUCCAUCGUGAACCUUUAUCCCUGAGUCAACCGAAAAAAUAUCCGCCUCCCCUCUUAUUCAUUGAGAAAGGCAGGGGUGGGGAUAUCUACUAAAUAUGCUCGCUCCUAUUAGGAGUAUAUUUACUAAUGAGACUCCUCUUUUAGUUUCAUUCUCUGAAUAUGCACCUCUCCCUUUCAUUCCUUAACUCAUUCAUCCAUGAAUUUCUUUCCCGCUACCCCCCUUUUUGGUAGGAGAUAGUUUCCUCUCCCGCUUAAAUUCCUUGCAUCGGAUAGAAGCAGCCCAUGGAAUGAAUUUCGAUACCAUCUCCUUAUCGGUUGGCGGAAAGUCAUCUCUUGGGCAGUCGAAAGGGGGGCAACGAAUCGUCGAAUGAAUUCCUUGUGUCGGGUGGAGAGAAGAGGGUGGUAGAUAGAAUGAACAGUCGACUGCUAUGGGAGAGGGAAUCAACUAGGAACUGGCAUCUCCUGGUCCCUUCCAACCAUUAAAGGUACGUGCUUAUUACUAGGAGUGUCAGAUGCAACCUGUGUGCUCAGUCCCAAACUGUAUUGAUGACCAAGCGCGCAGUCUUUAUAGCGCGCUUUUCAAGCGCUUACCAAGCAAGCAAGCCGGCAUACUCAGAGAGCUCUUCGCCUUUGGUCCGAUGUGGGGGCCCUUUCUUAUUGAAUGAAGUAGGCGGUAACGGUAAUAAGCGACCGAUCAUUAGUAAGAGACGAAGACAGGGCCAGACGAGAUAUUGAAAGGCUUGAAUGGACAGGUAAGGGACAGACUGAUUGCACCUACCAGGCACAGGACUUAUUGGCUUCAGAAGCAAGCCAAAGAAAGAAGGGAUUCGCUUACAGAAGUACUUUCCAUAUUUUGAAAGGGAAUAUAUAUAUUUGAAGGAAGGUACUCGUGUACGGGAAUCGAAGUGAUUAGAACAGAACUGAGCUUGCCAGCCAGGAAUGAAGAAGCAACGGACGCUAUUUGUGGACAGAGCAAGGGACAGAUAGAGGAAUGGUUUACCUCCUCUAUCCUUUCCAUUAAUUGAUUGCAUACCGUCUCGCUUCUGUUUACCGUACGAUUAGCUGUACUUCUUUCCGAAUGGUUGAUAUAACCAUUCCCUACUGACUCUAUUAGGGGCAUACUCGAUAGUCGUCUUUCCUUUCCUGUACUAUUCAAAUUGCCCUAUUUUUUCUAGUAAGGGGAAGGGCAGACCGCUUAUCAUAAAACAGAAGAUCGAUAUCGCACAGAAGGCCUGAUAUCGCCCUAUUUGAGAUACUGAUUCAAGUUAUAGUACUUCUUCUUCCUAAGAGCGAUUGAACUAGCCUUUUGACUAAAUAGAUAUGAGCAUAGAGAGGGAAUCCUGAACUACAGGAAAAAAGGAGAGCAGCCAGCCUUUAUAUUAUUAUAUAUUAGCGGGUAGGUUUUUCUUUUUCCUGAAGCUUAGAUGAGAUUAGAGAUGAAAAAGACGCUAGCAUUAGCAGAAGAUCAUCGAUCAUACUUUCUUGCCUUAGCCACUAUUGAGUAAGAAAGAUUUCUACUUGCCUUAGAUCACUAUCGAGGAAGAUAAACUCAUAGCACAGAUGAUCCUUACCCGGGAAGGCAGAAAGAGUACCUGUUGUUAACAAAACGGAGUCUCAAAAACUCAAUUAUCGUAUUUUCAAGCAGAGCACCAGUAAAAGACCUAGAGGCCUAUGAAAGUCACGUUUUUACUUAAGAAAGAUGGCGCCUUUGCGAGGAUGUCUUUAAUCAGCCAAUGCCAAGGCAACAAAGCUAGCAUCAAACCUACCCGCCCAGAACCCUCCUUAAUUCCUACCAAGGUUCCCAUCCCCGAUGACAGAAGAAAGAUAAGCUAAAAUGGGAGCUGGAGAGGCAGGAAGAAAGAUUCUCACUUGGACAGGAGAUGCGGACGAGUUUUGGCCGAGCUCCAAGAAGCCUGGGAGAGAAGGAGGCAGGGCCAAGCUGAGCUAAACCUAAACGUAUGCAUGGUUAAAAAGAAGUGUACCCAAGUUCCUGUGUUGCUCGAUAAUUUGUUGAUCCUUUUUAUCUUUAUCCUGGUGGCGCUCUCUUACUUACUAUUUUUUUGGUGCUUUAGCCAGCCUUACUCAUCUAUGAGACAGAUGAGAGAGUGGGAAAAUGCGGUGUCAUGACUUUUUCCUUGAAAGGCAUCGUCUGUUGACGAAUCCAUUUUAAGCCUAAGAUUCCCCUGAGAAUGGAUCUCUCAUUUGGGCAAAAAGGCUGUGAAAAAGGAUUCCAAAUCAGGCUUUCCUCACUUGAGUAGAAAGCUUUUCAGAAAGGAGGAUAUCCUGAGCCAAGCACAAGCAGUAGUCUCAAAGAGUAAUGCAGUUGGAUCAAGAAGGCCGAAAGCCCGGCAGUAAAGCUCACGUUGUCGACACCUCUUGUCCGUCAGUGAGUGAUUUCUCGUAUGUGUAAAGACGGGUAGACCGUCUCAUCUCUUUCCUCAAAGUGGUGGAUCGAACUUCGAUCAUGUCACGAGAGUGGAUUCAGUUGGUUUCAUCGGUCAUUCUGCGAACCUGAACCUGACAGCUAUCACUUACUGGUCAAUGAAAGUGGGGUAAGUUUGACUCUGAUUCGGAGCUUGAAAGUCAAAGAGUCUCAUGCACUUGCUUAUGGAACUCUUGCUUCAAAGAAUAAUCUUCCUAGGUUGCCCUAUCUCUUCCUCUUCGGUUGUACUUUCCCUUUUCUUCCUGUUCAACUUGCCCAACUCUCACGAACUGGCAGUGGUUUUUCAGCAUCAAUGAGUCGACUGCUUUUUAUAUGACCUUUGCUUUUAGCUGCUGAUGUCUGACGACAAUGACUGCCUCACCUGAUGAUACAUAGCACUGAAUUGGAUUAGCGGACACAGAGUCAUGUAAAGCGAGUGGAAGGGUCAGACCAUCAAGUGGAUCGGAAUCAUGUAUAUAGGAAUCAGGGGCUAACGCAUGCCUAAACCGACCUGUCUUUCCUCUCCCUUAUCGAUCGAGCCUCACUUCCGCUCUCCUUCCCUAACGGAUAGUACGACCUCCUAACGGUCCCCUUCCCUUUGGUCGAGCACGAGCCUAAUCUAUCCCCUCUUUGCGUCAAACUUCUAUGUGGGCUGCGCCCUCCUCUGAUUCUACCUAUCCACCUGGAUUUUGGGGUCUCAAUGCCAUUCCUUGAUACGAAAUCUCCUUCUUGGCGACUCACUCAUUGAGGAAAGAAGCCCUACUCGCCGGCCUCAAUGGACCAAUGGGGCCACUCCUCGAUCCUUCUGACCCUGACUAAUCAAUCGGCUUGGAAGUUGGAAGGGAGAUGCCAUGACAAACUCAUCCAAUCAAGCUCGUCUGGGAAUCUUUCUCUGACUUGUCCUUCGGGGAAGGGAGCUAGAUUCGUAGAAAUCGAGAAGAAUGGCAGCUUUGACUAACAGGAUAGGGUGCCAAGGAGAGGGUUUCAUUGAAGAAGUCAUAGUGCGGAGAGGAGCUCACCUUCAUCUAAAGAGGGAGCCUUGAAGCCAAAGCCAUCUUGGAUCAAUUGGGAACUUCAUCGGGCACGCACCUUUCAUCGUGAAUGAUUAUGCUCAGGGAGCCCCAACUAUAGCCAUUUCCUUCCAUAAACAACCACGGAAAAAGCAAGAGAAGUAGCCCCAGUCAGACAGCAAAGUCGCAAAGGUAAAAGGGAGAGCAUCAGGUCAAUCAGUCGAUGAUCCGGUGGAUCAAUUCAUUAGUCUUGCAGUUGGUCAAGCCAAAGACUGAGUCGACUAAGCAACUGUGUAAGGAGUGGAUGAUCAAUAAUUCACAGCAAAAGUGGAUACAAGAACCGAGUUCAGUAGUCGAUGUUGAAGUCGUGCAAGUACUGAUCUCUGAACCAGAAGCAGCAUACUUAUCGACUGCUGUGACCAACACGCACCAGCAACAGCGCUCGAAAGUCAGAGUGAACCAAGAGAAGCUGAACAGACGGAGUGCAAGUGCAUCCAUGGAUCAGAAAAGGAGUGAGUGGCUUCCAAGGUGUAGGUGGGGGAACGAGUGAUGGACCAAGCAAAGGAAAGGGGGAAGAAUCACUGGAAAGACGCUGCUUUGGUUGACCAGCGAACAAGCACGAGCCAGGCAAUAAGAAAGCAAUAGCCGAGGUUGGGUCGUCAGGAAGGAUAGCCAACAUAGAAGAGCUUUUGCCCAUUCCAUUAGUCGAAGCGAAGUCCUGUCCUUGGAAAAUGAUUUGAUUCACGUUUCCUAUCUCCCCUUGAUAGAAAAGGGAUCCUCGCCUGCCAAAGGUUCUUCUUCCCUCUCUGCAAAUGGUGAUUCCACAGCAUCUGAGUUCAUCAAGCGAAGAACAGAGAUCCUUUCUCGAUGAAGGUCUUCUUAUCUUAUUCCUCUGGGAAAGACGUGGUUCAUGAGCCAUUGACUCGAUCAUCAAGUCGAAAUAAGGCGCUUUCUUGAGUUCUUUUACCCAUCUAUUGUACCGUGGGGAGCAGCAUCCGAGCUAUGGGAUCGCUAGCUUAUGAAAGAUCAUAGAUCGGGGACAUCUGACUGAGAUAGAUCGUCAUCUCCGGGCGAACCUCUCUUUGUCGAUCAGGUAACUAUGAGAAUGGUUCGAUAUGUGAAUUCAAAGAAAAUAGGGGACAUAAGGGUUCUUAUGCAGUUGUUCGAAUCCUACGCCUAUCGCCUACCUUAUCUGCCGAUUUAUCGUAGAUAACAGAUGUGAGCGUUGCCUCACAAACCUAUCCAAAACCCACUUUUGUUGUCAGGGCGUUUCGCCCGACAUUUUCAAAAGUGUUCUUCAUAUAUAUAAUUAAUAAAUUCCAGAUCUAAGGGCUCCAUGGGCAGAAGGAUAAGGAAGGUCAGAAAAGCUAGCAGCGGGAAAGCGGUAAGGGAAGGCAAUCGGUAAUAGUCAGCUGGCGGUUCGGUUCGGUGGAAGAAGCUGUAAGAGCUGUCAGCGGUAAUAGGCACUUCAAUGAAGCAGCAGCAGUAGAAUCAUCAUUAGUGGAUACAGCACCAACAACAGCAGCAGAUCCAGAGGCAGUUCCAGUCCUUGUCGCAGCGCAGUAGUUAGUAGGUGAUCCAACACCAGAGAGAAAAGACGCAGCAGAUUCAUAUACUGACCUUAGUGAUAUAGAUCCAUACCUAGGUACAGAACGAGACCCAUUAGUGAGGUCCAUAUCGGUAAUAGAAAGACCUGCCACAAAAGCAUUCCGAUGGAGCAGAAGUAGACCCUUCCCCCGCCAUAAUAGCACCACCUAGCUUCGCUGCAUCGGGAUAGUAGUAGCACAUAUCUUUAUAUAGUGAUCGUGAUAGGGAUAAUGAUACCAAUGAUAGAGUUGACCUAGCCUAGCGACAUCCAUCCCUUGUCUCCUACUGGUUUGUCUCUGAAAAUGGUUCUAAAUAAUGGUAUACUCCGGCUAGCGAAGAGGACAACCGAACCAACAUAUUAAGAAGAAGUUAAGGUCUCGGUUCCGUCUAUAUUCAUAGAAGGUGAUGUCGACGCUUUAGUUUUCAUUUUUUAAGAAAGGUUAAGAAGAAUAUCCUUGGCUAAAUAAAAGAAAGAAAGCCGAGCACGACUCCUAUCACUUUCUUAUUAGUCAGUCACUUCAGGCUUGGGUCACAAGCGCUAGCACAUCGGGCUUCUUAGCCUAAAAAAUAAGUGCUUUCCACCUCUUUCUUGCUGCAGUUGCAGGUCGAAGAUGAACCUUGCUGUUUAGUUUCUGCGUGACAAAUACGCUGGAUUGUGUUACGCGAAAAUGACGCCAUGCCCGGUUUAAAGAUAUAACUAUUGCUGCUUACUCCAAUCCUAAACAAGCAUCAAAACGCACAUAGGCUAGCGUGAGCGGUAAGGAGAGAAAGAAAGCAGCAAGCCAGCUAGCCCCCCGACAACUAGAGCGUAAGCAGACGCAGCUGAAAAAACUAGACGUCAUAGGCUAGCUCAAAACGUCGAGGUGAUAGCUUGAGGUCCUAAUCUGACUGAGUUGUAUUUAGGAUAAGCGGGAAGGCUCAAUAGAACGGGAUCCUCACGUCUACAAUGGAGCUUCGCCUUGACUACAAAGUUUAGGGUGCUUCACUCACGCGGCUUUGCUAGAUGGAUGCAGAAUAGUUGGAUGGAGUCUCGCUCAGUCAAUUAGUCUAGCCUCCCUUCCGAGUCAGAUUUUUUCCGGAAUUUUUUCUUGUCAAGUGAAAAUGGAGAUUCAAAAAUGGUUGGAACUAUUUGAACACGACGUUUUUUGGGGAGUCGGCAUCCAUUAUGUGGAAGUUGGGUCACAUCGUGGAUGUACAUAAUUGGAGAUUGAUCUCCUACUCCUUCACCUCGAAAACCUUCUCUCCAGCUCAAGAUCACUUUAUUCUUUUUCCUGAAAUAAGUAGAUCCUUUCACUUUCAUGACAACUGACUUCAAACCCAUCUUUCUGGCGGAUCGCCCGACAUGUUCCGCAGUUGCUUCAGCAGCAUACCGAGAAAGACGAGACCGCCCUUUUCUUUCCUCCAAACAACCUGCGGAGGCCCCAGUCUUUUUAUUCCCCCUAGCAUCUGUCACGGUCACAAAGGUCUUAUUUUUGAUCAGUAAGACAUGGACAAAAUCUCUGUUCUUUUUCCGUGAACAUUGCUCAUCUUCCUCCGAGAUGCUCUGUACGAAGUUCAUGGAUUUGAAACUGCCCGCACCCGCAAGCCCAAGCCGAUCAGUCUCGGCCGUUGUUUUUUCCUGGGGCAUCCUAUGUGAAAAGUGUUGAGAAAGCAUUUUGUUUUUUUAUUCUUUGUCUGCUCCCCCAAAAAAAAGAGAGACUUGUCGGAAAUCGCCGGUUGGGUUGGUCCGACCAAGAAAGACAUGGGAUGCACUUUUUCGUUUCGAACCAUACCUCGAGGAGAGGUGGAAGUGAAAGACUGGCUACCUAUAAAGAUCCCUCACUGCACACUUUCUAUAGUUCUGUAUCCAGGAUCGGCUGCAUGCUCGAGUUAUGAAUCGGGUAUAGAACCCAGGAUGCUUGGUUACAAUUCCGAAUCCGCUAAACCAUGUUUCUUUUCUUUUUUUUUGUCGAAACUAUCCAUGGGCAAUGAGUUUCGAUGUAUUGGGUGUAUCCGUUCUUUAUUUAAAGAAUUAUUUUCGUGCUUACGUCAUUUGCUUUCGCGUCCUUUUCUCAUUCAUUUUCUUUUAUCCCGGAACACUAACGAAAUCGCGGUUUCCUGAACUGAAGAAUGUGAACCUUAUAUAAUCAAUAGAAUAGAACAGCAUCUUUGGUGAAAGAAAGAGUGGUUAGGUCAGAAGCAUCUAGCACGCACUUCAAUCCAAACAAGCAAUAAGCAAGAUGAAUCUCUUUUUCUUUCUAUUCUAUAAUAAAUGAAAUUAUGUAAUCAGGGCUAAAGCACAUACAUAUGGAGAGGUGCAAAGGACAGAUGUGCCAGUUAGAUGAUAAUAAUUACCAGGGUCUGCCAGCGGUAUUUGAUUGAAAUAGUGCGGUACGAAUUACUUUCAUCAUUUAUAUACCCCAUCUUAAUAUAAUAAGAAGAAGACGUUAUAGUCACUUCUAACUUCAUCCAAUCAACUGCCUUGAAUGCAAUGCCUCUCCUAUUUUGAAAACGAACAAAAGAAAGAAAAAACAGGAAAGGCCAUUGGAAGGAUGCGAGCGGGAAGAUCCAUCUCAGACAGAGCAGACGGGGAAAGAGAUAUUAAAUGAAAGGUGUGCCAGCAGAUAUGUAUUUAUAACAGAAAAACCAAAAGCGGUGAGCUGACCUACCAACGUGUGAAUGUUUUAUUCAUGAAUUAUUUACUGUAGUCACAUCCUCAUAAAUAGUUCUAUCCGAUAGGCGUCUUGCAGUCUCUUAGGUGAUAGCGGAGCUCUUCCGUGGGGAAGCACCUAACCAUAUAGAAUAUUCGCACCUUAGCUAUUCUAUGUGAUCUUCCUUGAGCCCCCUAUCGCCUGCUAUCGCCGGCCUGGAAUGAAGGGAGGGCUUCCACUAUCCUACCAGAAAUGCUUGACCAAACUCCAAUACCAAGAAUUGAUCCUGCUGAAGCUUCCUUCGAUUUCUUUUUUUUUUGCCUUAAAAAUCUAGUUUCUUGGCAUAAGGACUACUUAUACUUAUAUGGAAUGGAAGUGGAAUUCCAUCCUAAGAAAAGAUUUUCGCAAUCCCUGGAAGGCCAGAGGUCUUCUUUCUUCUGUCGUCCUGCUAGCUCAAAUCUCGUACUAUAUACUUUUGACUAUACCUGAAAUCACUAUCGAAAAAGGGCUCUCUUUUUAGGCUAGUUAGGGUAGGGAGUGAAUUCUACUUUAGACAAGUCUAGCAAAGCAGCUCAUCUGGUAAGACGGUCAUCCGUCCAACCUCUAUCAAUCGGUCUUUCCUCUUUCAAUCGCUUGAAUCGGUCCAACCGGGAAUCGUCGAAUCUCUAACGAUCGCAUCUGUCUGACUGAUGGGAGAGAUCGGCUCUAUGGCCGCUUUUCCUUAAACUUCAGCCCUCUUUAAGCUCUCUUCUAGGGAAUUUGCUUGGUCUAGUAACAAGUCUCGAUAAGCUGUCGCAAUCAGGCAAUUCGUUAAAAGAGAUAUCUGAUCGAUCUGUCUUUCAAUACUUCCUAUCUUCCUGCUUGGGAAUCAGUAUCUGUUGCAAUCGCUCAUUUGUUCUGUUCUGUCGCAACUCUCGCAUCUGGAAUACGGGAAAGUCUUCCCAUAUUAACCUUUUUGUAAAUUUCUCUUCUAUUGUUAGCAUUGGCUAUCGGUCAAUUCCGAUUCCUUUCCUUAUAAGUAUUUUGUCUCCUUCAUUGAUUACUAUUCUAGAGUGACUUGGAUCUAUCUUAUGAAAUCGUCGAAUGAAGUUCCUUUGAUUUUCCGGUUAUUUCAUAAGAUGAUCAAAAUUCAGUGUGGUAUAAAUUUGAAGAUUUUGAGAUCCGACAAUGGGGGAGAAUAAUAGUUCUCCAAGAACUUUCAAGCUUAUCUGCAGGAACAAAGGAUUGACUCUCAAACUACCUGUCCAUAUACCCCCAAAAAAGAAUGGAGUAGCUGAGCGAAAAAAUCGGCAUCUUUUGGAGGUUACCCGUGCUCUUCUCACCGAGAUGAAGGUACCUAAUACUGGUAAGAAAGAAGCUGUCUUAACUGCAUGUUAUUUGAUUAAUCGUAUGCCCGUUCUAAGUGGUAAAUCUCCUAUUUAAGUGUUGAAACCUGACUCACCCCUGUCUUUCCUAUUUCUCCUCGUGUUUUUGGUUGUGUUUGCUUUGUUCAUGACUUGAGUCCUCUCAGAAACAAACUUGAUUAUAAGUCUUUCAAAUGUGUCUUUGUUGGAUAUUCUAGCGGGCCACCCCAAAACAAAUAAAAGAUUUGUGUCCAUGGAUGUCACUUUCUUUUAAAAUCUUUCUUAUUUCUUUUCUCUGAAAAUGGUAGUACUCUUUCGGAUCCCUACUCUCCUCAGGGGGAGUAUGGAGGUCUGGAGGAGAGUAGUGUUCUUACUGUCGUCAGUUAAAAUAUUCCCAUGUCUAAAGUGGAAAAUUAUAUGGAUUCGAAAGAGGGGGAGUCUCAAAGUAGUGAGCAGCUUGGUCAGCAAACCACGGAAUUAAAGACGUAUGUGAGGAAAAGGAAGAAGGUCAAUUUGUCGAAUCAACGAUCCAUCACCAAGACUCCUCCUUGGAUCCAGGUACUUCCUCUCUUCCUCCUUCUGUUGUUUAUGAUCUGUAUUUACCUAUUGCCUUGAGGAAAGAAAAGAGAUAUUGUACUUCUCACCCUAUUAAUCACUUUGUGUCCUAUCAAGCUUCCUUCCUUUAAAGCUUUCCUUUCAGCGAUUUCUUCCACCAAGAUACCUGGAAGAAGCCCUCAAUCAUCCUCAGUGGAAGAAAGCUAUGAUAGAAUAAAUGGAGGCUCUAAAGAAGAACGACACUUGGGAACUGGUCACGUUACCAAGAGGCAAACGUACGGUUGGCUGCAGGUGGGUAUAUACCCUGAAACACAAAGCUGAUGGCUCUAUCGAGAGGGCUCGUAUUGUGGCGAAAGGUUUCACACAAACCUAUGGCAUCGAUUAUCUCGAGACCUUUGCUCCUGUGGCCAAACUAAACUCAAUUCCAUACAAGUCAUUCUGUCAGUUGCAGCUAACAGAUCUUGGCCACUGCAUCAGCUCGAUGUCAAAAAGGCCUUUCUUCAUGGAGACCUCCACGAAUAGGUUUAUAUGAGUCCUCCACCAGGUUUUCGAGCUCAGGGGGAGGAAGGGAAAGUUUGCAGGUGAAAAAAAAAGGCGAUAUAUGGUCUCAAGCAGUCUCCUCGGGCUUGGUUCGAGAUAUGAAGUUUGGUUAUGACGAAGAUAGAUGGGUUUCCAGAGAAGCAAUGCUGAUCAUUCCGUGUUCAUAAAAAGGAGAGAGACAAGAGGAAACUACUGUUCUCCUAGUGUACUCAGUUUAGAACUCUAAAUUCACAAGUCAAAUAAUGAUAUUAGUCAGAAAGGCAGCUAGUAAGCAAGUCGAGUAAGACAGCUAUUAUUAAGUCGAGCGAGCUUUCGCUAAUACUAAUCAAAGACGAAAAGCUAAGGUAAGAAUUUGCAUAGAGAUGAUAGGCGCUUAUUGUGGAGCUCGAUAGUCUCCCUUAAAACCGCUACCGAUUCUUGAACAGAAAGCGGUAUGCUUGCGAAGACCAUUUCUGGUCUAUCCGUGUUAAUGAAAUCCAUCCCGUGAAACAAAGGAUAGUUCAUUCUUGGGGUGAAUAAAUAGAGACUACUGCUACGGGAUAGACCAAAACUUCGGGAUCAACCUCAAUGAAUUAUGGCGUAACGGGCUUGGUAUAGAUCCGUAGCCCGCUCUGGGUCUUUAACCGAAACUGGGACUAGGCAUGGAAAAGCUCGAUCAAUGUCCUCCUCUCCCGAGGUUAGAAAUGUGGAGGUACCUUUCCCGUCACCUGUUAGCUCUGUCCGCCACGGGUUAGCGACAUAAAGUGCGAAUAAAGGUUCAUCGGGACAUUUUUCUUCGACAACUGAACUAUCAUCACCGUUCUUAAGUCUAGACUUUUUUUGGGGGGGGUCAUAUUCAAAAUCUCGCAAAGCUUCAUUCUACAAGCAUUCCUAUUUUAAAAGGUAUAUGGAUUCCGGAUUGAAAAUAUGGAUAUAUUUCAUUCUCCUUUUGGAGACCGACCCAUCUUUCUCUCUAGAGGGGCCCAAAAGAUACAAAUACGCUCCUGAGGAGUCUUCCUGGGAAAUUGACUCCUUCCUUUCCAACCGGAUUCAUGAGUGAAGGAAAAGAUCAGAUGGAAAGGACUCUCCUUCCUUCUCUCUCAUCUGCUCGGCUACGGAUAUCUGCUCUACAGCGAGUGAUGAAGCUUCGAGUACCCAAUCCAUCUAUAAGGUUCCGGGAAAGAGGGAUAGACUAAAUGUGAGAUGGAGCAAGGUUUGGAACAAUCUCGGCGGGCUUGCCAAUCCGUCGAGAUUAGUCAACUUUCCUUUUAUGUUCGACCAGGAAGGCUACUCCUCAUCCCUACUUUCAGCGGCGAUCAGUCUAGUCUAGUAGGCUCUCUCGCCAGUGAGUUCGGCUUUUCAUUUCGAAUAAAAGGAAAGAGCUUAUAGUUUUUCAUACCGAAAAAGAGGCGGUAGAAGGCCUAAAGUCCUUCUCAUUUCAAUCUCAAUCAAGAAGGGCUUAUUCUAUGCAAUUGAUAGGCUCUUCUCUCUUUGACCCUUCCCUUGGUUGUUAUGAUCUCGUUGAGUGAGAUAGAAGCUCAAAUCAAUUUCUUAGGGAGCAGUGGUUCUUCGUACAGAUUUGGCCUAAGAGCGGUGAUUACGGGAGAAUGUUUUUUGGUUCAAAACAAGAAAAUUCAUCACAGGAGAAAAAAGACAGUGUAGACGAUAGAUUCAUCGGAUAAAGAGUAUAAACGGAAACGGAGACAUUAGACGCCAGCUUAGACCUUGGUAAGCGUUUCUUCUUCGAAACCUCAGCAGAUAUGGUUUUAUAGGACGAUUUGUCCAAAACAGACCUUGCUCGCAAUGACCUAUGUUUCUUUAGUAAGAAAGUCCGGUUUAAGCCAAGCCAUCUCAUACAUAAAGUCUGACUAUUAGUCUUGCUGUUCUUUCAAAUCCAUUAGCGGUGCCGCCGUGCUUUUGAUUUUCAUGCCUUCCAAGCAGUCGAAUUGAAUUGGUCGCAUCUGCCUUCCCGCUUAGUGAAUCUCUAAGGGGCGUAAUUAAUCCAAUCUCUCAAUCGGUUGGUCAAAUGCAUUGACAUUGGCGCAUUCGAUUUCUUCUUUUCCAAAAGUGGGUUCAAAUCCCCUUGCCUUGCUGCUGAGUAUGCCCUAGUUUUUUUCUUCUCGAGGAGUGGCUAGCUCAUUUCUUUAUCCACCAUUGAAUUGGAAGUUGCGGGAUCACCCAUGAUGGCUGUUUCAGUUCUUGAUUCAGUUGAACUGCCCGGCCGAGCUCUUCAAUUGCUUCAAGCGCGUUUCGUUCUUCUUGAAUCUCUCGGAAAGAGGAAGAGGCCCCUGCGCGAGCUGCAAUCAAACUAAAGCGCGUUAGCUAGGCCGUUUUCAAUAAGGGGCGCGUUAGCGCUUUACUAAUAGAAUAUAUAGGGCUUUUCUCGCUUGUUUAGUAAAGUCGACGUUUUUGCUUCGUUCCACUUCCUUAACGGACCUACGGACUAGCUAAGGUUUACUUACAUAGUUGUUCUUUCUUUUCGCAAUUUCAAGUUAAAGCUAGCGUUUUUCAGCUUGCUGUUUGCUUUGGUCGAGUAGCUUUCUUCCUUCGCUUUUGAAUGAAAUCAGCAGUAAGAGUAAGUAAGUGUUUGUUCUCUUUCUUUCCUCUGCUUAUUCCGCCCAACGAAUCGGCUUUCCGCUCGACCAAAUAGUCAAAUGCCCGGUUAGGAUAUGUGGAGAAGAAGCUCCUAGCAUAUUUCAGGAUGACUUUCGUUUCAUAUUCCAGUCUUGCAAUAGGAUUGAAAGGCUAUGAAUGUCGAAUGGUCCCAUAGGCGCUUUCGCCCGCCCCUGAAUAAGCAGUAAGGCGUGGGCGCGUUGGAACGAUCCCGCUUUGAAAGCUCAACCUCGGGAGAAUCAGUUUCGCCGGUCCAGUGACUUGGCAUACAAAGGCGAGUAGGGUUCUCCUCCAUGUGGUGCACUCCCGCUUCUUCAUACCCGGAAUAAGUUUGAGCUGCUCCAAGGGACAGCUUUUUGCUGCCGGAUGAAGGUCUUACGUCGGCUAAGAAGACGGAAAAUUCCAUCUCUUUUGCGGUCCUGGAGAUCGGGGAGAUAAGAGUUCGCCCACCCUAUUUUGAGUGGGUGCUCGCAAGGUCAAAGUCAAAAAUUCUAUUCUUUCAUUAAUACAGGGGUAGUGGGGAAUAAAUAGUUUAAGUGAUUCACACCUCGAAGUAGAGUGUGUAAAUACCGGAUGCGUAGGUUGAAUCAUUCGCUAAACAACUAUUUUGUUGGGCGAUCAACCAGGUGCUCCUACCCAACCGGACUAAUGAAUGCCAACUGGAAGAACUCACUUUCCUAUCGUUCAGUAGGAGAUCCCUUCUUGUGGCUUGAAAAUGAUUCCCUGUUGCUAAUGGGGAGAGAUCUUUCAUUAGGGUUUGAUGCUCCUCAAUGGAGAUCCCCAGAAUAAUAGCUUGCUUGUAGAACCCUUUGUUUGGUACUUUAAUGGGGGUAUUCUUGUACAGCUUGGCCCUUUCCCUGGCGCACUGCCAUCGAAUCUACUAGUCCUCCUCAAACCCAAUGGGAUAGAAUUCCUUGCGAAUUAGAGUUUGAAAUUUCUUCCGUGACAACCCAGAAAUGUCAUGGUUGCUCAUAUAUGCAUUCCAUCAAGUUAGUGCAUAAUUUGACGAUUUCGAUUUUCUUUCUCCGAUCCAGUUCGUUCUGUCUUCUUUCCGACGGAUCAGCCCUAUUAGAGAAGGGCUUCCGAUUCUGUAUGACAACAGAACGAGCAUUCGCUGGACGGCCAAACAUUGAAUGAAAUGUUGGCAUGGGGUUUCGGCAAUUUCAAUUCCAUUUUCAGUCUUUUCAAAUGGAAAUUGAAAUUGUAUACGCCGGUUGAAGCACACGUUGGAGCAUCCAAACGAACCAGCAGGGGCUGCUGUGGCAGAGACAGCAGCAAAAGCACUAGUCUCCGUUGAUCACCUACCAGCAGGGAAAGCAGCAUAGGUGGCAGGAACUAACUAGGGUUUAGGUACCAAUUCGAAGAGCAUUCGUUUACCGGGGUCGAGAGCAGCCAGCCCUAGAGGUACCACACUAACAGCGGCAUCCCGACCUGAUACGGAUCCCUACCUCUCUAUCCACAACCGACCCUUCGAAAGCUUAUUUAUUUACUUGAGGCAUAGGCAUGGGCACAGGUGGAGACACAAGCAAAGGCACCAAUAAAUAGCUACAUGGGUCGCAUAGAAGCUUUAAGAGAUAGGGGGGCAUCCACCGAAGAUGGCAGCGCAACGGAAGCACGAACGAGGUAGCUUACGCUUUUUUUUUCAUCCUCACUACCUGGUUUAUAGUCGAAUCCGGAGAAUAUGAACUCAAAACAUUCUGAUUUUUGGUACGUUGCUAUGAGCAGCUCUGGUGCUCGAUCUUGGGUCUUAGGUGUGGGUCGGAUCAUGAUAAAGAAGGUUCGGUGGUUGUAUAAUUCCCAAGCGGAAAGUAGUCUACUUGCAAAGUAGAUGGGGUGAUCAAGCGGCCCUUCCUGCGCCAACAUACAUCCAAUGGCAUAGAGUGAUGCGUCAGUAUGAACAUGAACUCCUUAUUCCAAUCCGGAAACCGAAGGAUUGGGGCUGACAGCAAACACUCAUCUGCAUGCUUAAAGGCUUAAUCCUGUUUCGGUCCCCAACCGUUAUACCUUUCUUCUGCAAUGAUUCCAUUCCGGGGUUCCGCGCUUCGCAAAGUGUUUAAUGAUGCGUCUGUAAUAGCCUAUGUGUUCCAAAAAAGAACGCGCUACGCCCGGCCCCCUUUUUCAGUAGAUGAGAUUAGGAUGAAAGGGCUUGCUUUCAUUAACAUUCAGUGAAGGUGCAUAGCUUCUUUGAAUGUCCCGCUGAUUGACUACUACAUCUAGGGACGGGACUGAUCCCGAAAGAGAGGUCUUUCUUUCUGGUUAUGAAAUCGCUUAGGUUGAAAAGCAAGUCGAUGAUGCCAUAAGUCAAACGGGCGGGUGAGGCGAGAGUCCUUCACUGCACUCACUGGAGAGAAGGGAUCAUCUCCAAUCUAGUUGUAAGGUCUUGUCCCCUUAUUAGUAGCCGAAGUGUAUGCCGGGUCAUUUUUGAUAAAUUGAUAUGUGCAUCGGAAUACUUUAACACUUUAAAUAAGCGUUAGUCGACCUCCGGAGGACAACAAUUUGCUUUUCCAACUGUCGAUUCUCUUUUUCAUUUUCUCCAGUAGAGGAAGGCAAUGCUCUCUCUUUAUUCUCUUGGGGGACAAGGGAAGAUCCAGGUACUUUAUAGGAAAACUACCUUUUUUUAUUCCUCCUCAAUGAUCUGGAAUUUCUGCGAGGAGCUCUGUUCGAGAAGAAGCACUGGCUCUUAUCGAAAUUGACCUUUUGGCCAUUACAAUCAGCUUCUUACUUCUUUCCAGAAAGAUUUUCAGUUUCUUAAGAUUCCGUUUAUGGCCAUUAUAUAAUAAUAUCAAAAUAGUUCGCAAAGAGAAGGUGGGAGAGUGCUGGGCACGAUCUCAAACCAUGGUAAGGUGUUAUCAUUUUCAAUGAUACUAACUCCUGUAGGCCUCGGCUUAGCACUUCUUCAGCUAAAAUCAACAGGCUAGGUUUGGAACCCUUGUCGCAGCCCUCGAGAAGCUGGAAAGUACUCAUGUGGCACACCAUCCACAAGCACUCCAAAGUUUUCAUUACAUAAACAUCCAUGUAUCAAAUUCCGCCAUUUAUCACAAAAGCCGAAAAUCACACACACGCAUUACCCCCAACAAGCCCAUUCGAUCCAAAAAGAUGCUUUUGCCAUAUCCUGAGUUUCUUUUGACCCCCCCUCCCUCCUACUAUUAAGCUUUUUGGUUGAAAUCCUUUAUCACUUAAAGCCACCUCGUGAGCCAAGGAGAUCUUCUCUACAAUAGUUAGUCCUUUAACAAAAGCCCCUUGUUCCUUAAAAAUGAUUCUAGGGAGAAUCCAACUCAUUCUUCGAGCUAGAGAUCAUUUUAUAGAAAUAGUGACAAAGCUCUCCUUCAAAUAUCUCAUAAAUAAAGGUAGGUCGGAAUUGGUGAAAAUGUGAAGGACUUUCGACUUUCGGAAUAAGGGCAAUCAAUGAAAUUUGAAUUCAAUAGGGCUUAACAGCGCCUUCAGCAAAGAAAUUGUGAACCGCCCUGACCAGGUCGUCUUCAAUAAUCUUCCAACAGUGAGAGUCAAAACUGGGAAUCCAUCAAUUUAAAGGAUAGGGGAGGCACUCUAACCAGGCUCUAUUUUCACCGCAUCAUGGAUUUCCUCUCGUUAUGGCGUGGAAACCUGGGAGAUAUUUUCAGCAUCAGUGAUCAUCGUGGGAAUACAUCUAAGUAGAUUAGGCUUCAGGCGCCACCCCCCACUCGGAAACCAUGAAAAGCAGAGCCCUUGAAAGUGCUCAGCAGCUUUGGCCCCCACCUGAAACACAUCACUAAGGAUGGAGCCAUCAUCUUUAACAACUUCUUUUGAGUUCUUUCUGGAUCUUCUAGCUAAAGUGGAGAGAUGAAAAAAUCUGAUCUCUUUCUAUCGCCCUCCUUUCCUUUAGCCAUUUGAUACGGGAUUUCUUUUUCCAUCUAAUUUCUGAAUGUCUAAGGCAUACAUCAUAAAGAUUUUUUGCCUCUUUUUCUUCCUGGGCUAACUCCGCAGUCCAUCCCACCCUUUCCAAGGAUUUCUGAAUGUCGCAGACCUGAAAUUCCGCUUCCUUGAUCUUUGAAAAAAUCGAUCCCACAACAUAUUUAUUCCAAAGUUGGAGGUCCCCCUUAAGUCGUUUCAAUUUAGAAAAGAAACGGUAUAACGGGGAUCCCCAGGCCGGUUGUUUCCAAGAGGUAGACACCACCUCCAAAAAAGAGUAGUAUGAAAGCCAAAAUCUCUCUUUUUUAAACGGCCGGAAGGCGGCGCUUUUAAGGCCAAUUUUUAUCAAGAGUGGGCAAUGAUCUGAUUUGAGUCAGGGGAGGUGCUCCACUAGUAUAUUAGGAAAGAUGGACAACCAUUUGCUGUUUGCGAAAACUCUAUCUAGUCUUAACCAGAUAUAAAGAGUCCUCUUACGAUUAUUACACCACGGGAACCUACUUUUAACAAAUCCCACAUCCAUUAAGCCACAAUCGUUCACAGCUUAGCUUCAUUAAAGUCCCUCUCCGCUAUGCUAUGCAGGAGUAGCCCUCCCAGUUUCUCUUCCGGUGACAAAACAGCAUUAAAAUCUCUUUUAAGAAGCUUUUUGGGGGAAGGGCGGGAAGAGCAAUUAGAGUCAUUUUUCUAAAUUCAUCCCACAGGUCUCGCCUAUCAAUAGUUUAACAGCUUGCGUGAACAAAAAGGAGGCGUACCUGAGUAUUUUAAGAUUUGAUCUUUGCGUUGGUAGAAAUGAAUUGGGCAUUGCCUUCAAUCAUGGACAGGUCAAGGAUAUCUUCUCUCCAAAAGACCAAGAUAUUGGCAGGGGAUUCAUCCGAGAUGUUCGACAUUCAUCCAUACGCAAUCUCCGCUUCAAUUUUGAUACAUAGUUGGCCCUUCUAACCAUUGGUUCCAGGAUGACAACCAAAAACUAAAGCCCGGUCCGAGCAAGAUCGUCGAGACGUCUACGCGUGGAAAAAACCUUGCAUUCCAAACAAUUGCAAUUGUGGAAAUUUUUGAAAUAGAGUGGAGUGGGGCUUAGCCCCAAGUUUGGAUUGUGCCCUAGUAGUCGCGCUCUUACCCAGGUGCUGCCAUUUGUUUGCCUUGUUCGGAGGCUCCGGUUUCAAAUCUUUCUCAAAGAUAGAUGAUUGUGGGUCCUGAGAGGAGCUAUUUGAUUCUUAAUCAUGAUCAUUGGAAUGAAGAGGUUUUGAGGACCUUCCUUCUAAGGAGAAAGCGCGAACUUCUCUCUGUAUGGCAACCACUAAAAAAAGAUAGUUAACCAUCGGUUCAUUGGAUUCCGGGCCGGAUGGAGCCAGUGCAUAAUCCGUAGGGGGUCUUGAUUAUCAACAAAAUUUCUGCCAACUAGUUCCUCUUCCUGCUGUCCCCGUGAGGCAGAGCUACCGCCGGUAUUAGGGGCUGCGUUAACCGAAGGCGAUUUUCCAAUAGCUAAAUACUCCGGUUGUUGAAGAACAGGAGCUUGGGGAUUGUUAUCUGGUUCAAGCUCUUCGCCCCGAGGACCAUCUUCAAUGGUUUGCAUGUAAGCAGCAGCAACAUCUGAAUCACAAGGGCUAACUUCAGUGGUAGCAGCCCUGACUUACUUAAAAGCUUCUGGAUUGGUUGGGUCAUUAGCAUGAAAAAAAACCGGAGCAUUCUUUGCAGCUUCAGCCACACCAGCAUUCACCUCAGCAGGUGCAUUUUGAACAGUAGCCGCAUUAUCAGCAGCAGGCAUCGUUUCAGUGGUAGGUGCUGACCGUAUUGGUAGCAUUGGUUCUUGGAACAUAGGCCAUUCUCGGUGACGGGUUGACACCAGGUUCCUUAUUCGCCACUUAGCAUUCGUGACGGGCAUGACCUUGUCGUCUGCAAUGCGUGCAGAACUUAGGUAUUCAAAAAGAAACGAUUUAUUGCUAGUGAUCCAUACACAGUAGAUCCAAUCCAAACACGAUUUGGGAGGUUUUCCUUGAGAAGAUCGACUUCUACACAAACCCUAGCUACGUUGGGGCGUGAGACAAGCUUCGUAGGACCGGGUCAGGCCAAUUCCGAAAGUAGAGACGAUAGAAAACAGGCGAAACUCAAAGAAGAAGACAAUAGGCAGAUGGGGUCGCGAUACCCAAAUAGGCGCAUGCAUUGGAUCACCAUUGCGGAGACGGAAAUCAUGGCUCCAGCAGAAAACCCUAAACAUCAAUCCCUCAAUCAAAAACUUCUCUUUGUUUUUUGGUGCAUAUCUUCUUUGUUCGAGAGCUUGAUGAAGACGUGCCUUGGAUCUAACAGAAUGAUCGAAAGAUCUCCCUUGGUACGCCAGUUCUUCGGAGCGAUCUCCGUAGGAGCUGCCAACGGGACGCCCACCGCAGCGGUAGAAGACGAGGGGGAAGGCUUUUUCAACCCAUUCCUUCGUCGAAAUCCGUUCCCCAUCCAUUUAAGAGUAAUCACGAACAGCAAGAAAAGAAUCGCAGCAAGCCCUAUGUGUCACGAGCAGGCACCACGGGUUGUUGACUUGAAGGUGGGGGGGAAGGCUUUUUGGGAUGCAUUAUAGCACAGGCCGUGACUACGUUUUUCCGUUGCUUGUUGCCCCUUUAUUAGUAAGAAUGCUGUGAAAACACAAGCUUAACACGUCUGUCUUUAUCUUCUUCAUAUCUUCAUGUCUUUGUCGAGUUGAUUGGUUGACAUUAUUCGCUCCUUUCUGUCUUUUCAUUGUCCGCCUCUGCCCGAACAGAUAAGCACUAACCCACCCGAAAGAAGGUGAAACCCUUCUUUCCAACCAUGGCUAUCCUUGUACGAAUUGUUGACUCCUUUCUUCGUACAAAUUAGACCUAGCUCGUAGGCGAAAGAUACCUUCCUUUGCAAUACUCCUGUCGGCGGGAUCCGCCAGUGCCCCCGUGUGUAAGGCCCUUUCCUCAAAGAGGUCGAAUGGUUCCUGUCCUAUUCAUACUACUCUGUUGGCUUAUGUGGUAUGUCUAGCGGAUGGUGAAUCCUAUCCAGGAUCGGAAUUGGAUAUUUCCUCGGUUUCCGAGAAGUGUCUUAAUGGGUAUCCGACCGCCCUCUAGCAUGUAUGAUGGCUAUCGUGGCUUGCCGUUCUACCAGAUAUCAUGAUUCUCCCUAUUGUGCAGGUGCCUCUAUUGGUUUCUUCAAUUCCUCCUAUUCACGUUGCUGCCAUGGCCAACACAGGAUAUUCCUCUAACUCGUUGUUCCCACGCGCGUGUCAUCAGUGCAAAUUUCGAAAUCAUCUUACGCAUAACUCUUCACUCUGCUUGGGAAGUGUUCGGAGUAGCACGAAUAUCCUAUGAAGGGGUCGAUCGCUUCGCCAAUGGGACAGCUAACUACGAAAUGUCAGGAGUUAGGGGGGGCUAGCGACUCCGAGGGAAGGGGUGAAUAGACCACGAGCAGCACGCUUGCUUCGGAGGGGAUCCGCAAGGCUUUAGCCCAAGACUUAUUGGAAAGGUAAUGAACUAUGCGGCGGUGUUGACCCUGCAAUAGCUCCCUACCUAUACCGCUGCCGGUGCUUUAUCAGAUGCUGAGCCCACUAGUUCGAUGCAUCAAACCGCUACCUCUCCCACCCCUUCCUCCGAUGCCGGCUAUCGAUCUGGAGAAGAUGCAGGAAAUACAAUUUUGAGUGCUGUCAGCUCAUAUAGAUUUCCAUCCGCACAUGUACCUGGACUUUCUUCCAUAAAUGGCUCCGCGGAUCUCCAUCUGUACCUAGAUUCGCCACUGGCUUCUCACUCGUGGCAAGGCUUUUGAUCGUAAGUAGAAGCAGGGCCGGACGAGGCUAACUUCCCUCCCAAUCUCAAGGGAAGGGGCAGCCUCAAUAUCCAUUGAACUACACUCCUUCUCUCCAUCUGUUGUUCUCUGGCGUUAUCUGUUCAUGGGAAUCAGCCGGAGGGGAUUUCUCGAUCAAUGAUGAGGCUUUGGCACAGUUGUCACACAGAACACGAAGACACAAGCACAAAAAGAAGAGUUUUUAGCACACGUAACUUGAUUAGGAGAACCCUAAUUCCCAGGUUAACGGAGCAACACUGCCAUUCUUUAGUCUUAUCACACUAAACUGCUAUUCCUAUAAGAACGAGACGGAGCACGAGAACUCGAAUUACACUGCUGCGCGUCUUGCACUCUCUGUAAGGGAUGAAUUGUGACAGGGCGACCGCUGACCCUUGCCCGGGAGGAAUUCUUAAACCUGGCAAGCUAACUAAUUAGAAGAUUCAUUCUAUGGAACUCAACUCAAGAGAAGGUACGAUCACAGGGAUUGUGGUUGUUCACGCUACCAGAUGAGAAGAAGGAAUUCUACCGAACUUUUCACUCAGGCACGGGCGUCAAGGUCUUUGCUUGGCGUCUUGCCCACUUUCUUUUCUUUUUCGUGUGGAGCGCCUUUCCAUGCCACCAAUGGCAAAUGGUCUAGUCCCCAAGUUGGAAGAUUCGUCUACAAGUUCAAACCAAAGGUUCAGUUCAAAGCUAGGACUCAUCCCAAAGGCAAGGUCAAGGUUCAGUCCAACGCGAUGGGGUUAUUGUUCCGUGUCAGAAAGCUUCUUAUUCACUCACCCGAAUGCGAGAUCAUUUGCCAGAGCAGAUGGACGAAACCCGAACCAACGAACUCUACUUUCAAAGGAGUUCCCAUCCCUAGCUGACGAACAGCUCAACCUCUUCUUUCACAGAAAAACCUCUUGUUCCUCUCUCUUUGUUCAUUAGGUCAUGGUGUAACGGCUCGAAAUGCGCCAACGACACGACGGAAUUAUCUGCCGGUGCUUGAGAUUGAGUGAAAUGGGGUACCGGCUCGAAACUCGAAAUGCGAACACGAGUUUCCCCAUUAUCUGCCGCUCGUUUCCAUUAGAAGAAGGAAGGCCAAGGCGCUGCCAUUAAGAUGAAUGAGCAGGAACGGAACUUCCAUUCCACUGCACUGAACCUUCAACCAAGCUGGUCGGACUGAAGCAAAGGAUCAAUCACCUAGCCGGGCACUGCUUCUUGCUUAGUCCUAUCCCGAUUCUGGACCUAUGACAGCUCAACCAGGACUUAGAGAGGCGGCUAGCACUUUGAUUGAUCAGAAAGAACCUUCUUCAUGUGGAAGCAACAUCCGCUUAUAUUGCUCAUGCUUAGAUGGCUCAGCCGCCUGGGUAACUCCUAGCUCUUUCUCUCUAAAACUGAGGAGAAGCAACAAGUUUCAGGGGGCACUCCCGAACCCCGUUUUACACCCCGGACCCGAAGAACUGCUCUGCUGCUGGCCGAGUCACUCCUUGCUCUUUGCUUUUUUUGUGAUGGCAUGCUUCUUUAAUUCAAUCUUUCAUUUCAUUCAAUCGUCGAAAGAUUGAGCCUGUGUUCAGUUAUCGUGACUUACCUAAUAUAUCUCUUACGAUAUUUCAACUUAAGGGCCGGCCCCAGUAGGCUUUGACGGUUAUAGAUAGAAGUAGGAAACGUCAAUGAAAGCCUACAUUAGCGAGUAGCCAUAUUUAGGCGUAACUGACGGAACUACACUUGAUUUAGGAGCUAACGGAGGGUGUGAAACAGACUCCUGCCCCAUGGACAAAACUACACUAACGAGACGUAGGCUUAGUCAAGUCAAGCAAGAGAAAGAGCUUUAGCCGAGGGUUCCCUCGAUCAAACUCGAAAUUUCAUAAGAGAAGAAAUCUCGUAGCGUAGAAAAGAAAGGAGAAAUCGUUUUGAUUCGAGGCAGAUCCCUUUUUUGUUUGCCUUUACGAGUUGAGUAAACAAAUAAAAAAAAGUCUUCUCUUUGGAUAAAUCCUAUCUCUCGUCACAUAAGAGCGCACUAAAUAAAAAGGAGAAGCAGAAAGAGACGUCGUUUUUCGCGAUAAGCAAGAUAAGGUUCUUUCUAGUCUUCAUCUGAGCUCCGUCUUCUCGUAGAAUCCUCGCGCUUUAAGGGCAGGAGGUCGUAGAUCAAACUCCUUCUUUUUUAGUUCGACGCGUCUAUGGCUUUAGAGAAAUUCCUACUGUUGUUGCGGUUAGUGGCUUAGCGAUUCCAGCAGGAAAGUGACUUUUAGGCUCAGUUGACUUCUAGUCCCAUGCUCCAGGGCAAGCAGAUAGUAAGCGAGGCUUGAUCGGUAGGCAAGUGGCCGAAGAGGAAGGGAAUUCUGUAAGUGAAGAAAUUCUCUUCAUCACGAGAUCCGGUCUUCAAGCCAGCAACCAGAGCAGGAGUCAUCUUCUUAUCAGAGCGCAGACUAGCCACGGAGCUAGUCAAAAAAAAAGGGAUCAGAGUCAAUUGCGGUCGCCCUCAGUCAAGAUCAUGUACCCAUCUUCCUAUACUAAUCCAUACAUCCCUUCUCAGUCUAUGGACAGCUAUCUCUCUAGCCCAGUUGCGGAACCGAGAUCGAGAUCCAGGAGGACGACGUCGAAUUCUUCUUCCAUUUUGAGCUCAUCUACUACAGGAAUCUUCAACCUUCUCCUUCAAGGACUUCCUUUCCACCCGCAGGAGAAGGUACAAUCCAUCAAAUUGAUUCAUGAAGACAGUCAAUCUCAAUGUGCUGGUGAAGCAAAUCAUUCCCAUUUUCAGACAAAGAAGACGUGUAAAGAUCCCCUUUUCCAAAGGGACAAGCAAAAAAUCACCCUAGGCAGAAGACUCUUCAAUCUGCGGGUGGCAAACUCACUAAUGUCUCCUGCCUCUUGUGGACCUUCCUUCACUUAUUAUAUGAAAAUGGGGACUCUUUUUCUUUCUAUCCUGCGCUAAGGCUGGUUCGAAAUCCACUUCUUUCAUCAGGGAGAAUAAGACCACUUAGAUCAGGCUGAGCUACCUAAACUAGGGCCUCCAACGCCUAUAAGUUUGGAACUCUUUGAUUAUCUGAAAGUCAACUAUCUCCACCAUUCCGUUAUUCCCGUCUUCAAUCUCUUUCCAUCUCUGCCCUGCUCGGGGGCAUUUCUCUCCGGAGGGGACUCAAUUCAAGGAGGCAACUUUCGUGUAGACCAAAUCUCUAUCGCGAUUGAUUCCGUCCUAUUGUGGGCAGCUUCCUAACACCCCCUACUCCUAAGCAGUAAACUCAUCUUGCAUUUCUUUGCGAACAACAGAGGCAACCGAUUAUCCUCAAUUUUGUUCUAUCUACACUGAGUUACACUCAGCCUUCGAUCUUUCCACUCAUUCAUCAUAGUCAAAGUCGAAGCCACGGCAUGGGAGGCUCGGGAAAAGAAGGAGCUUUUUCGUCUUCACCGCCGACUUCCUUCGCUCAACUCGCUUACUUGAUAAAGAAAGUGACAACUGAACUAUAACUAUAUUAACCGACCUCACAGCCUAUAGUCAAAGAAGUUGAUUACCGUCUUCCUUUGUAGGGUCAAUCCCAGUAUAGCCGGUCUGACUCUCAGAGUUCGAUGUAGACGUGAACCCCUCACAAGGUUAGGUCUGAGGUAGGAAUCCCGAUUUUUUGUCCCUUAUUAAGUCGAAAGUCCUUCACAUUUUCACCAAUUCCGACAUCUACUUUUCUUUAUGGGAUGUCCCGGUCUGCCAAUGCAUAAAGAGAGAGCUUCCUCUUCGCAGAGAUUUCGCGGAAACCCAGCUAUAUCCGAUCUUGUAAGCGCCUAAUUCCAAGACAAUAAUGGACCUUCUUCAAUCCCAGUUUACGUAUCAGUCUAGUGUGACCAAGACAUGAACAAAGAACAAUUCCUCCCUUGCUUCGAGCACCCAAACCUCGAGCACGAGGGGGACUGAAAGCAGCAAAGAACGAGGAGAGAAUCAACUCGACUUAAAAGGAGAGGAGACGAAGGAGAAAGUCAGAUGGUAAAGGAUAGAGGACUGCAAAAUGGUGUGAUCCUGUGCUAAAAGAAGCUUUAUAGCUUUAUAGGGUGGACGGUUUUCGACUUUCUACCUAGAAUAAAUGAAUAGAAUUGUCUGAAAGAAUCGUAUAAUAGGAUAGAGUACGAGAAGGGGCUACUCUGUUAAUAUAAUAAUAUAGUAUAUCACAGCUAACGCACUCCUCUAUUUCCGAUACGCCUGUAAGCUCGCCUCAAUCUUAGACUUUGCCUUUAUAUGCUGAGCAGAAAAAAACUCUUUUACGGGCUAUUCUCCAAGCAGCACGACCUCGCUACCUCCCGAAGCUGCCUAGUCACACAAUGCAGUCGGAGCUAGAGACGAGGAUGGACCAGGCUUAUCCAGAAUCGACCAAGCUAAGCAAAGAGGAACCUCUUCCAAGCGGAGCAUCCACUAUGAGAAACAUGCUCCCUACAGCUACGAAGGAAGAAGAAGAUAGACAAUGCAGAGAAGCACCUAGACCAAGAGAGAGAAAGAAACUUUCCUCACUCAGAAAGGCCCAGACCACGCUGGGGAAAGAAUGGCACUUUACAACUAUUUCUUCUGCCUUAUAACGAGCUGGACUCGAACCAGCACUGCCAGAUUCGAAAAGAAUCAGGGUUCAACCUAAGAAUGAUCGUUAUUUGUUAACCCGGUUCGCCGAAAAGGCUACGUCCGGGGGGGCUUCUAUUAUAGUCCCCCCUUUUCCCCCUCCCCACCGUUCUACUUCUUGGAUAACUUUCACGGUCGCCUUGAAAAAGGCGCUCUCUUCCCCUUGCUCCUUUAUUUCGUUAAAUAGGGAAAGAAGUUGAUCCCAAUUCUUGCCAUCAUUAUUGGUGACAUGAUUGAUGGCCCAACGCCACCGAAGAGGGUGUGGUUGGUACGGAAAACUAUCCUUGGUCAUAUCUUGUAAUUGAUGGAUAAGGCUUUUCCGUAUUUCAGUACAGAGCGUCUCAUCUUUAUCUCUGUCCCUUUUCGGAAUUUUUCUUGCCUUAUUUUUUUUUCAUCUUUUUUUGGGGGGGUCCCAUCAGCACCACUACUUGAGCAGGCGACAGAAGAGGUUUUUCUCCGCUUCUGAUGCCGUUGUCCGGCAUCAGUUUCCAUGAAAAUAAUAAUUAUCAAGAUAAAGAUUGUACUACAAAUAAAAAGUAAUAUUUUAUCAUCGAAAUGAAAGGACUCGAAGGCAAAAUGGAUGGUGAUCAUAAGAAUAUAAUACAAUAUGUCCAUGUGUUUUUUUUUAUUCUUUUUCGGAAGCAAAGGGAAAAAAUAAUGCCUAAACUCUAAACUAAAGUCAAAGUCAAAGGGCUAAUCUGUUAUUUCUUCCAUGGCCCCUAGAAUGCCAAUAUUAGCACGGAUCGUACGGAAAUGUAACUCACUAUUCAAACAACUAUUCAGAGUUCCUAGAGCUCCUUGUAAGGCUUGUUGAAAAACUCGUUGUCGGACCUGAUUAAUCGCUCUUUGUUGUUCAAAAUGAAGGGUUUCAUUUUUGUAAUUUUCUAAUCGUUCCAAAGUGUCACAAGUGGCAUUAAUCAAAUUUUCUUUUUCUCGUUCUAUCUCAGAGUAUCCAUUCAUUCGAUACUCAUCUGCUUCUAUUUCCACUUUCCGUAAGCGAGUCCUGGCUCUUUCGAGCUGCUCAAUGGCCCCUCUACGUAAUUCUUCCGAAUUUCGAAUAGUACUCAAGAUCCUCUGUUUUCGAUUAUCUAAUAAAUCAUUUAAUGAAAGUAGAUUAUCUUACCAUUAAUUUCACAACUUCCAUAAUCUCUUCCCGAACCAAACAUGAAUCUUUCGAUUCAUUUGGCUCUCACGCUCAAUUAUUUAUUUUAUGUUAUGGGCAUUCCCAUAUCUUUUUUUUUAAUGUAAUGAGCCUACCCUCUCUUUUCUGUUUAUAUUCAAAAACAUCGAAACUGAUAUAAGACCAGAAUAUUAGAAGGACUCUUCCGACCAGACAAAAAUCUAUAAUUGUCAGCAAAGUUCUUUCUUUAUUUGUAUUUGUUCUUUAUUUCAUUUGAAAUUGAAAUUUACAAUUUAUUUCGAUAUUUUUUUUUUCCACUUUUUUUCUUCAAAUCAAAAAAUUCCUAUUUUUUUUUUACGUAGGUCGUCGAUUCGGCAUUGGAAAAAAAAAAAUAGCAAGAUGCCCAUUUUUUUAAUAAAUGGUUCAAAUAAUUUUAUCGAUAUGAGUGUUCUAUAUCAGAUAAAUUACCCACUAUUCAUUUUGAAACCAUUUCGGUACGUUAGUACCGGUAGAAAGAGUACCAUGUUUUGCCUGGACUUCAAACAGUUUAGCUUUAACCAUGUUAAUGGUCUCACAUUAUUGGUUGAUAGAGAAUCCAAUUUACCAAUAAGUCACGAAAUGCUAUGGUUCUUACAUAUGAUUUCUUAAUUUAUUCAGAAAUAAUUCGUUGAGAUCGUGCACUUUUUUUCCUAUUUAUCCUAUAAAAUUAAUAAAAUACCAUAAAUAAAGUGCAGUCGGAUGGAUCCAACCUAUUCUUGAAAUACACAACUCGCACACACUCCCUUUCCAAAAAAAAUUAAUACACCAAGCACUACACUUAGAUUUAUUGGAUUUGUUGCUAAAAUAUCGGUAUUAAACCCGAAACUCCCGGCGGAUGGCCAGUGACCCAAGGAAAGGAAAGAAUCGGUUACAUUUUUCAUAUGCUCUCCUCUUAUAGAUAGGACUAACAAAGAACAGAGUUCUUUUUGUAUCACUUCGUCGUCCCUUUUUUGAUCGAUUUCUUUUUAUUAUAUAAAUUUGAUUUCCAUUUUUUUUUUAAUGGGAGUAGAUUAAAUCUAGUAAUUGAAUUUGAUAGUUUUGAAAUUUCUUACUUGAAGUUUCCAAUCCAAUAAAAUACUUAUUAGGUUAAGUCUUGGGUCUCAUGUCAAUUGUGAAAUAUCUCGUUUGUUGAAACGAUUCCUAAAAAAAGUCAAAAAAAGGUUUCCAUUGUACUAAACUAAGUACGCGAAGGAAGAAAACGAGCGGAUCCAGUAAUUACUCAUCCUCAAAACAGUCCUUCCUUUCCUGGAGUAUUGUCUCAACAAAUAAAUAAUUGUAGGAGUAAAGCGUUGAUAUAAUUAGAAGAAGCAAACUGCAAUUCUGAGUUAAUAAAAUAAGAAAAAAGUAUAGCGAGUGAAAUUCAAAAAAUAAGAAAAAGGCUUGGCAGCGAAAUUUUCCAAGGAGCAACUUCCUUAUUAGGAGGUUCCCCUAUUGAUAUUUAAUCACUCUCAAACAGGGGUGGCGGGUGGGUACAGAAAGACUAAUCCAAUCUUUUAAUUCAACAAGAAGUACCACCAGUGUGACCAGUGUGAUAGAAUGCGAUUCCGAGUGAUAAGACGUAGGAUAGAAGGUAUAGGAUGGAACCGAAUCGAGCCUACGGGGAAGUUGCUCCUUAGAAUGCCAAACCAAAUUAGAAGCAAGCAAGGCUUUCUUUUCUUGUAGUCGGGGAAAGAAUCCCGGGGUUGAUGCUGAACCAAUUCUUCCAUUCCAGAGCCCAGAGGAAGAAGAAAUAACAUUCCAUGCUGCGAGGCAUCGCUGAUAACAUCGCCUGUUGUACAGUUGCUUUAGCCUAGGAGCCAACCUAGCUAAGGCAAUAUCCCAAAGUAGGGGCAGCUAACUGUGUAGAUAGAUGCUCUUUCCUCUUGCGGGAAAGCUAUUCCUUGAGUUGAGAUACUACUGCUUAGAUUAGAUGGUUAGCUUAGUAGAUGCUUUCUUGUAGCUCUACCAUUUAAAAAGCACUUCUCUUGCGUUCUUGAGUUAGUUUUUUGUCUUGUAGCUACUACCGAUAUGCUAUGCAAGUGGUAGAAGUGAUGCUAUUAAUUCAGUGCUAAGCACUCAGCGCGCUCAGGGCUUGGAAGACUCUUCGCUAGCGAGGCAGCUAUUACAGAGGAAGAAUAAGAGGGAGGGGUACCAAGGAGACAAAGACAACUAUGUAAGGCUUAGACCUUGCGUAUACUGCUUCUCCUUUGGGUAGCUUUCUCUUCAAGCACUCUUGCCUUAAGAAGGAAGGGUUAGCUAUGUUUCAAGCACUCCUUCUUGAAAGAAAACAACUCAAAAGAGUCUUCCCAUUCAAGCACUACUUGUAGCUACCUAUCCCGACAACUACUAAACGCUAUGAAAGUAAUAUAACUGCUCUAUAGCUAGAAAGCGUGCUCCUACUAUACUAUAUUAUAUAUAAAGCGGCUGGAAAAGCCAUACAACUGUUAUGCCUGCAAUGAACCUGCUAUGAAAACGAUACACCUGUUCUACUGACCUGUGGCUCUACCAUUUGUAGAGAAGAAAGAAGUCACAACACAAAGGAAAGCUUAAAAGAACAACUACUUGAUAAGGUGUUGCUAAGAGACAAUACAAAGUAAUAAAGCAGUUAUUCCAGUAACACACCAGCUAUGCUAUGAAAGUGGAUGUAUAGGCCUCCUUUCCCAUACCCAAUCCAAGAGAGCAUCCUAGUGGGCCUCUUUGUUGGCGGUGAAGCAAGCAAACGUCUCAUUUUGUUCAUUGCGAGGUUAAGAAAGGGAGCCAAUCCGCGGAGUCAUUUUUCUCUAUGAAUUGGAUAUUUCAUUUAGGUAAUGCCAAGGUUGAUUCACCGAACGGAAGGAAAAGGGUGUGGGUCAAUCCAAAGACCGGGACUUUUCCCUGACUGGCCUGAUUGGACCGCUCUGCCUACUGGGCCUGGCUACCCCGCAACUUACCGCUUCAAAGCCCUAUCCUUGGCUACCGCUUGCUUGCUCACUGCCCUUGCUGCUGCUAGCUUUCUGGCUACUGGACUACUUGCUUGCGGCUGAAACCGGCUUUCUUGGCUAUGCUACUUUGCUACCGGCAGGACUGCUGCUACGACUACAUGCGCAUCUAGUGCAGUGGCUUGGAAGCAAGCUACCUUGACCAUCUUCCGAAGUUCUAAAUAAUAUACUGAUCAAAGUUCCGUCACGGACUGCUCUACAUUCAGCCACGCCACAGUGACUUCCGAAGCGCUACGGACGGGACGAAAUCCGGCAGCUUAUUGCUGGCUCUGAAUAACCAGCCCAGCAAUAAGCUAAAUUCUUCCAUAACAUAACGGGGCGAGGUUGCGCGCGAGCCGAGUGACGUAGGUGCACAAGAGUACUUCGCGCCACAACCAUCUCUUUUUUAUAGGUUCUACGGACCGAUGCCUGCUGCUUCAUCUGGUAGAAAAGAUUCAUAGAUAUGCCUGUAAUUAGAAGGAAGAACCGCCAUAAAAAUCUUCCUCGUGUAUCGUCUGUAGCAGAACUAUGAACGGGAGCUAGCAAUCCGGACCGUAUUGAAAAGGUUCCUGAGACACAGCAUGGAAGAGUCAAAAUAUUAAGAAGCGAGAUCCAAGAAUGAAGAAGGGGUAGAAUUACUGAAUGAAUACGAGCUGUGGCUAAUACCCGAGGCAUAAAAGAGGCAUUUUCUACGGGAUCCCGAAACCACCAGCCACCCCGACCUAAUUCAUGAUGAGCCCACCAACUUCCUGGCGAGAUGCCUACGGUUAAAAACAACCGACAUGUCAAGAUCCAAAUUCGAAUUGGUUCCUGGUCCUGGUCAGAGACCACUGUGUUCGCGCCGGCGGUCCAACAAAGAGGCGAAGUCGUGGUCUCUUUCUUUCCAUUACGAACGACACGCUUCGCCUGCUCCCUCCCCGUGUCCAUUAGCGCUCCUGUCCAGAGCGAAGAGAAGGCGAAAAAGCGCCGCCGAAGCAGCAUGAGCAGGCUUCUAUUGCUACGCAACAAUAGAGCAGGUGCGCCGCCCACAAAAUGUUUGAAUGAUCGGGUAAAGAGCGAGCUUCUUAUAUGGGAUCCGACGCAUCCAGCAGAGCGAAGCAGCCUUCCAUUCUUUUCGGCGGCAUCCUUCCGCAUUGGCGGCGAGUGGAGUGCCACAAUCCCAUUCAUCAUUUUUGAUCUACAUAAGCCAAAGCCCAUAGCACUGGCGACGUCUCCGGCAUAAAUGCGAGGAGGAUGUAUAGCUGAUAGAGGAUCUUGUGGAACAGGAUUUGAUUCUGCAAGCGGUUCGGUACGAACGAAGAAAUUUCGAACAAAAGGAUCGGAACUCGCUGAUAGGAAAGGAGAGAAAAACAAAGCAAUGCCAAGAGCUCCGUCAAUCCGCUGUUCUUCGAUAGACGAAGCUCUCUCUUUUUCAUCUCGUGCCAGAUGCAACAAAAGAUUAGUCCUUUUUCCUUCUCGCGAACCACGGGAGCGCCCAGCGCCCAGAAGAGCAAAGCUCAUUUUCCUUCCAGGGUAAAGCGGCGCAUAAAAAAGGGCUGGCCCGUCAAAAGUCCGGUUCCUUCGCGAACGAAGUUCAGAAUCAACAAGGGUUCGUAGAACGAAGGGAGUGUACAACUGGGGCGCAGCCCCACUUUUUUGUUGGAGAGAUAGAAUGGAGUUCUUCACGAAGUUCGAGACAAAGGAAAAAAGAAAAGUUUCUCUAUAGCCUCUUCGUUUUGAGACAUUAUGGCUUUGGGGUCGACCCCGGUAACAAAGAAGGAAUCCAUAAAAAAAAGGGAUCCAACACCAUGAUAAAAUACUACCCUCAUGAUUAGACCAUGUCCCUGAAAUUUGAUAAAAGAAAGGUGCAUUAGCGGUUAAUACGUUGUAAUUGGAUAAGUUAUUAGGAAUAUGACGGAACGAAAGACCAAGGAAAGGAAUAAGAAUGCACCAAAAUGCAGGUGCUGCACCAAACGCUGGUGGUUCUUUCUUGUUGUAAGUGAAUGCAACGAAAAGACCCGGAAAUAACGAAUAAUGAGAGAAUUCAUUUAUAGACAUUUCGUGCUCAUUUCAAAAUUUCUGCUUUGUUAUUCCCAUCAUCCGGUAACCACAGGAUGAUCCCAAUCUCCUUUUAGUAAUAGAUCUUUUUGAUAUGUCUCAGUCUCCGCGGCAAGGAAGAGAAAAUGCAUCGAGUCCUUUAUCAAGAAAGUGGACGAGCAUGGUGGUCCCUAUAUCUCUGAGGGGUGUACCACUGUAGUAGUUUUCAAGUCAGCUUAAGAGAGAGCUCGGCUCAAAAGAAAAAGUCACUCUCUUUAUUCUUUGCUAGUGGAAUGGAAGCAAGACUCUUUCCUAUCCACUUUGCCGAGGAGAGAGAACUAUCAGAUAACUCAAGCUAGACAGAAAGGUGCAAAAGUCCACAGUUCCUUAAGGAUCCUGUAAGCAAGUAGGUUCAGAUUGUCAUUUAGCUUCAAUUUCUUCAGUCUCACAAGUGGGUCCGCAUGCAACAAAUCAAAUUUGAUUUGCCUACUACUCCGACCUUGCCCCUAAAGGAUAAGGAAAUUGGACAAGAGCGAGACCAAGCCAGACGGAGAGUCAGUCCUUCCUUCCCAUUCGACGCGUGUCAAGUUGAAGAAAUGAAUGCAGCUUCAUUCUUUUGCUGGUUUACAUUCUUAAGGUUUUGUCGACCCUUUAGGACCGACUACAACACGACAACUAUCAAAGGUGGUACGCUCUCUCUGCUCGCGACUAGAAUAUAAGAUCCACGAACGCUAAGCUCUCCAUCUGCAAUGCCUAUAAGAUAAGCUAUCAAUCUGUAGGCUUUGCGCUGUUCACUUGUUAUGUUAAUAGGGGGCUGUUCGGUUCAAUAGGAGCCCUACUUCCUUCAGUCGCAAGCAAAUGAGUCCCCGCCGCCUUUCAUCUUGCCUUUGUUACGCAAGACGCCAACAAAGAACCUUGGCCCUCUCGCUUAAGGGUUUGGUACUUCAGUAGGGCUUGCCUCGACGGGCGACUACUUGGUUUGACUUCUAGGGCGACCUUCAGUAUUUCAAGAGUGAACAAAAAAGCCCACGGAGCUCGGCUCGAGAUAGUGGCCCUUCCACUUUGGUGUAGUUGUUGAACCCGGCCGAGUGUCAUAAAGACAACAAAGCCCACUGAGUUGUGAACUGAAAGCUGUAGACAGUAGGUAGGGGGUCUAGUUUCUAGUUUUUGUUAAACCAGUGAAGUGGUGUGUUAGUGGAGUGGACGCAAGUUCCGAAGCUCCACUUGCGUCACAACGACUCACUACUCAAUGAAGUGGACGUGUAGUUUUGAAGCGUAAACGGAAGGUCUCCUCUUUCUCCCUUCAUGAAUUCACUCGACCACUGUGCCUUUGUUCCCUCGGAACAGAGUAGAUGUCGUCUCCC
rnacentral:lncRNA from 1 species